GGGGGCUGGGGGCUGCAUGCCCGUUCCUCACCUGUACUUGUGCCGAUCACACAGGUUUUCCAGACACUGGUAGAACAGCGACGCCUCCACGCCCUCCAGCAUGCCGGCCUCGCCCAAGGCAGGUCGUUGGCGGUGCUGCCCACUGGACGACGUCGGCACAAUCACUGUGUUGGGGUUCUUGCCUGACAGCAGGUCCUCAUAGAUGGCAGCCACACUGUCCAGGAAUUCUGGAACCGUGGGGGUGGGGUGUGGGUGUGGACGGCUCAGGCAGGGAGGACAUGUUUUGUCUGUUCACUAUGUCCUCCCUUCUCUGUCAGCCCAGUUCCACACCAGCCUCAGUGCUCAGGGCAUGGUGUCCUGAGAGCAGAAGUUCUCAACCUUGUUUGACAACACAUUGAUGAGAGAUGACACUAAUCUGUGUUUUUGCUCAAAUGUCCCAUCCUUGGCUCAGUUGUUCCUGGACCAGGUUGCCCACCCAACAGUUUUCCUGUCUCUAGUCCCUCCCACUGAGGACCCACCUCACAGGAAGAAAACCGUCUGACUCAUAAAGGGAUCCGACCAAGGCUAUGUUCAUCCUCUGCUCAGCACCUCAUCUGAGCCAGGACAAGAAGAGAAGGAAACGAGCGCUUGCUGGGCUCCAUCACAUGCCAGGUGGGUCUUAUUAUUUCCAUUCUACACGUGAAGAGUCUGAGGCUCAGAGGUCAGCCUGCCAAAGUCACACACACAGCUGGGGAGCUUGCUGGACUCCACAGGCCACACAUCUUCCAUGAGACCACACUGCCUCUUUGAAAAUAAAGCUGCAGAGCAAAAACACUAACAUUUUACCUCCUAGUUUCUGUGGCUGAUUUAUUUUCUUUCUUGUUACUGAUAUGUUAGGCAUCUCCUGGGGAGAACGACAGCUGCCUCCACCACCAGAGUUCAACACUAGAAUUCCAGCUGGAAAAAAUUCAAGGCUGGAGGGCGGGAAGAAGCAGUGCCGCUGAGGGCCACAAGAGGGUGCCCUGGUCCCUCUGUCAGUAGUUCACAGGACUAAGUGCAGUGCCAAAGGCUAAGUGGUUACCCC
rnacentral:lncRNA from 1 species